rnacentral:lncRNA from 1 species
UGGGAUUUCCCCCAUGGAGGCUCCCAAAUUGAAAUUUUGAAAGAGCAAUUUUGUCCACAAUUUUAAACAAAACAGUUAGUUUUACAAUGACUCUAGGCUUAUAAAAGCAUGAAGAAGCCAAAAAACAACAUUACAAUGUAUUUGAAGGCCCCCUUGAAGAUUUUUUAGGACUAUGACAGCCAUCUUGCACGCAAAACCCCCAUGGGCAUUUUGAAAAGUUGGCAGGUAUGUU